AUGGUUUGGUGUGGGCGGAGCUCUCUCAAAGCCUUCUGGGAAGGCGUUCUAAGCUGUGGCGGGAGUCUUGCGAAUUCGUUCGUCUCCGGGGGCGUAAGAAUGUCGCAGAACGGUGCGGUGGCGACGAAUGGGGUCAUGCUGGAGGAACUCAGCAGCUGGCCGGAGGAGAUAUGCCGUCGGGAGCUGCCUUCGGUGCUGCCCCGGCUCCUCUCUAUGUAUCAGUGUUCUGAAAGUUGGAUUGAACAUAUCCGAAUUUUGAAAAUCAUUGUUGAAAUGUUUUUGCCUCAUAUGAACCACCUGACACUAGAAGAGACUUUGUUUUCCCAAAUUUUACCAAAGACUAUACAGUUGUUUGAUGGCAUGAUAUGUGAAUUAACUAGUGAAGCCAGAGAACUCUCCAGCCAAAAUUUAGAAAUCCAGAUCACCAUAAGGAACAUUUUACAAACAAUGGUGCAGAUCAUAGGAAGUCUUACAGGAUGUGUUCAUCAUGUCUGUGCCACACAGGAAUCUAUCAUUCUAGGAAAUAUCCACAGUCUUCCCUCAUUCAUCCUGCAUAUUAUUAAAAGUACAUUUGUACACUGUAAGAAUAGCGAAUCUGUGUAUUCUGGGCGCUUACACCUGGUGUCAGACCUUCUCCAGACUCUCUUCAAGGAGGCCUAUUCUCUCCAGAAGCAGCUGAUGGAACUGCUGGACAUGGUUUGCCUGGGCCCUUCAGAAGAUGAGAAUAGCAUUUUGACAAUGGUAGAAGUUAUUCAUUCGUUAAUGGAUAUCUGCUCUGUUAUCUCCAGUAUGGACAAAGCAUUUCAUGCCAAUACUUGGAAGUUUAUUAUUAAACAGAGCCUCAAACACCAGUCAGUUAUAAGGAGCCAGUUGAAACACAAAGAGAUCAUUUCUAGCUUGUGCGAAGACAUCCUUUUCUCCUUUCAUUCUUGUUUACAGUUAGCUGAGCAGACAACAGAGCCAGCUGCACAGGAUAAUGCUGACUACAGAUUAUUUCAGAAAACACUGAAAUUGUGUCGUUUCUUUGCUAACUCCCUUUUGCACUACACUAAGGAAUUUCUUCCUUUCCUGCCUGAUUCCUGCCGUACCUUGCACCAGCUUUAUCUUCAGAUAUACAGCAAGUUUCCUCCAUGUCUGUAUACUGCCAAGAUUUCCAAAGUACAGCAGGAGGAAAUAGCAGGCACUUUCCUUGUGGUACUGGACCCUCUCCUCAGUCAGCUGCUCAAAUCCCAGUCUUUUGUACAGACAGUUCUGGCUAGUAAACUCGAUCUGCCCCAUGAACUGCAGCUCCCACAAGUCCUCCUCCUGGUUGUUGUCGUGGAUAAGCUGCCCUCUCAGCCUGAGGAUGUACAGACCCUGUGGUGCACAGAAGAUAUGACUAGGAUGUCCAUACUCAAAGCCAUUUUCUAUAAUUUUGGGCAGUUUUCUGGUGAACUCUCUCUGCCUGCUCAUUUACAAGGAGUGAAGGGUAAAGGACAAGCCGAGGUACCUGUCACUCUGUAUCAGCGCAUUUGUGUGCAUUUGUGUACAUUUGUGGCUUCUCUUCAUCCCACAUUGUUUCCUGAGCUGGAUGCUGCUCUAUUGAAUGCUGUGCUUAGUACUAAUAUGAGUACCUCUUUGUUAGCGAUGGAUGUGUGGUGCUUCCUUGCUCGAUAUGGGACUGCUGAGCUUGGUGCACACCAUGUUACAUUAGUGGCUCAUCUGAUAAAGUCUUGCCCUGGCAGAUGUGUUCAGCUCACCAACCUGUCUGUGCUGUUGAGGCGUCUCUUUUUCUUCAUGGCCCCAGCCCAUCAGGUGGAAUUUAUCCAGAAAUUUUCUCCAAGAGAAGCAGACAACUUGCAUUUGUGGCAGUAUAUUUCCUUCCAGGCAUUACCUGCUGACCUCAGGAAGCAAGUCACAUGUGAAGUGACCGGAGUAUGCACAGCACAGUGCAGGAAGUGGUUGAGCGGCAGUCAUACCUUGGCAGAACUUGACUCUCUGGUGAGAACACAGCACUCUCCGUUUUGCUUACUGUAUGCAAUUCUGCUGGAGAAGCUUUGGAUAGUAGACAACUAACUGCGGUUACUGAAGUUGUGGGUCAGCUUUGGGCUUUUAUAAACGUGGAACAAGAUCUCUCACUAAACCUGGAGCUGCAUUGAGAUCCAGGGAUCCCAUGUUUGUCACCCCUUUCUCCCAAAUGCUGGUUACAGAUGAGGCCUCAGGCGGCUCACAGGCUGGGCCGUCUCCUCAGGCCCUCUCAGGCAGGUUUCAUUGUUUGUUUGGUUUUGAAGUGUGUGAUAAAAUACUAAUAUUAGACCUUACUAUUAGACACAGCUCAUCUACCUAUAUUUAUGAACUUGCUGGACCCUUUUAAAAAAGUGAGUUUUGUUUUGUAUUUUCCCCUGUUGAAUUAAUGUCUGUCUGUAAUUUUGAGUUUGUUUGUUUGUUUGUUUGUUUGUUUUUUUAAAUAAAACAAUGCAGAUGGUAGGAGUGAUUUGACUUAAAAGUGAAGAGACUAGCAAGUAAAUAUAGCUAAUUUGUAUUCCUCUAGGAAAUACAAAGCUAGGAAAUCAAGUUAUAUUAAGCUAAAAUUAGAACAUACCCCCUACAUACUGUUGUAAACUUAGAUUUCUCAUUCUAAAGACCAGAAUACAAUGUAUGUUUUCUCUGGCUGAACAUGUGACAUCUGGCAACCAGUGGGAGCUGAGAGCCAAACCUAGACUUUUGGGGACAUAGUAGAAAUUAUUUUGCAAAUAGUGGCAUUUUUGGGGGUUCAGGUUUCCUGGAGAGCCUUUUAUUUGCUCCACCACUGAGCUACACCCUAAGCCCUGCAACAAGACCAGGCUUUAUGGUCACAUUACCAUCCUGCAGUGGUGUCACUUCCGCAAGAGGGUGCUACUGAUAUUUAUAUCGCUCAGUGGCCAUUCAGCACACCUGGGCUGGCAUGUGACUUCAGUGUAGUGUAACAUAAGCACUGACUGAAGAGGUGGGGUUUUACCAGCACCAACAGAUACACAAAUUGUAAGUGGCAGUAAUUAGACCCACUUUAAAUCACCUGGAUUGGAUGGAUGGCUCCUCUGUUUCUUAUCCAUGUGAUCUUGAGCAAAUAUUUUCUUUGUUUUCUUAUUAAGGUGGGAAUGAUAUUAUCUACCACUUAUUGUUGAUAUAAAGCAUAAAUGUGAUGUGAGGUAGUAAUUAUAAACCACAUACAUUGGCUGGUAUAUAGUAAGUGCUUAGUAAAAUACUGACUGGUAUUGUAGUUAUUCUGUGUCUUAGUGAGGCUUUCUGUUGUGAUUAAGCACCAUGACCAAAAGCAACUUGAGGAGGAAAGAUUUCAUUUUACAUCUUUUAGCCCACCAUCCAGGAAAGUCCGGGCAAGAAAGGACAAGAACCCAGUGGGAUUUCGAGCUGAGGCCUUGGAGGAGUGAUGUUUACUGGUUUGCUCCUUAUGACUUGCUCAGCCUGCUUUCUUACAGCACUCAGGACCUCCUGCCCAGGGGUGUGACCACCUACGGAGAGCUGGGCCUCCCACAUUGAUAGUGUUUCAAGAAAAUGGCCUCUACAGUUCCCCAAAUAACUUUAGCUUGUGUCAAGUUGAUGAAAAAGUCUUACAUUGCGUAAUUCUAAAUUCUCACCAAAAUUACUUUUGUUUCUUAUUGAAGAUAAUCAGUCAACCCCAUGUUCAACAGGCAUUUAGCCUUUUACUUCAGCUGUUGGCAUUUUUCAUCCAAACUGUAGAUCUGCAGCUGAUAAGUCAGGUUGUAAAUGUCCUGACCUUGGUAAUUAAACUAGAGCCUCCCGACCAUGUCUC